rnacentral:rRNA from 1 species
AUACGUAGGGGGCAAGCGUUGUCCGGAUUUAUUGGGCGUAAAGAGCGUGUAGGCGGCCAGGUAGGUCGGUUGUGAAAACUGGAGGCUCAACCUUCAGACGUCGACCGAAACCCCCUGGCUAGAGUCCGGGAGAGGAGAGUGGAAUUCCUGGUGUAGCGGUGAAAUGCGCAGAUAUCAGGAAGAACACCCGUGGCGAAAGCGGCUCUCUGGAACGGUACUGACGCUGAGACGCGAAAGCGUGGGGAGCGAACAGGA